rnacentral:rRNA from 1 species
CAGUAGCCGCGGUAAUACGAUGGGUGCAAGCGUUACUCGGAAUUACUGGGCGUAAAGCGUGCGUAGGUGGUGGUUUAAGUCCGUUGUGAAAGCCCUGGGCUCAACCUGGGAAUUGCAGUGGAUACUGGGUCACUAGAGUGUGGUAGAGGAUAGUGGAAUUUCCGGUGUAGCAGUGAAAUGCGUAGAGAUCGGAAGGAACAUCUGUGGCGAAGGCGACUAUCUGGGCCAACACUGACACUGAGGCACGAAAGCGUGGGGAGCAAACAGGAUUAGAUACCCGCGUAGUCCCUGUCUCUUAUAA